GGGUGCGAUCAUACCAGCACUAGUGCAUCGGAUCCCAUCAGAACUCUGAAGUUAAGUGUGCUUGGGCGAGAGUAGUACUAGGAUGGGUGACCUCCUGGGAAGUCCUCGUGUUGCACCCC
rnacentral:rRNA from 1 species